ACUCAGCGCCUCUGCAUCGGGGUUCGUCUCUACUGGAUAUUGUUCUUCGUAGUAAUACCGUACUGGAGGACAGUAUGUCAGCUACAUCGCCUUCGCCUAGAGGAAUUUGGAGUGACAUAUGGUACCAUUUUAUCAAAAUG